CCUACGGGAGGCAGCAGUGGGGAAUAUUGGACAAUGGGCGAAAGCCUGAUCCAGCCAUGCCGCGUGUGUGAAGAAGGCCUUCGGGUUGUAAAGCACUUUCAGUGGGGAAGAAAGCCUUGGGGCUAAUACCCUCGAGGAAGGACAUCACCCACAGAAGAAGCACCGGCUAACUCCGUGCCAGCAGCCGCGGUAAUACGGAGGGUGCGAGCGUUAAUCGGAAUUACUGGGCGUAAAGCGCGCGUAGGCGGUCUGAUAAGCCGGUGGUGAAAGCCCCGGGCUCAACCUGGGAACGGCAUCCGGGGGGGGAGGGCGAGAGGGCAGGGGAGGAGAGUAGAACCCCGGGUGUAGCGGGGAAGUGGGUAGUGACCGGGAGGAAUAAAAGUGGGAGAGGGGCCGUUGUGGACUGACCGUCACGCGGAUGGGAAAAAGCUUGGGAAGAAAACGGGAACAGCUACACCGUACUUC
rnacentral:rRNA from 1 species